rnacentral:rRNA from 1 species
UGGGGAAUAUUGCACAAUGGGCGAAAGCCUGAUGCAGCGACGCCGCGUGAGGGAUGACGGCCUUCGGGUUGUAAACCUCUUUCAGCAGGGAAGAAGCGAAAGUGACGGUACCUGCAGAAGAAGCGCCGGCUAACUACGUGCCAGCAGCCGCGGUAAUACGUAGGGCGCAAGCGUUGUCCGGAAUUAUUGGGCGUAAAGAGCUCGUAGGCGGUUAGUCGCGUCUGCUGUGAAAACUCGAGGCUCAACCUCGGGCUUGCAGUGGGUACGGGCUGACUAGAGUGCGGUAGGGGUGACUGGAAUUCCUGGUGUAGCGGUGGAAUGCGCAGAUAUCAGGAGGAACACCGAUGGCGAAGGCAGGUCACUGGGCCGCAACUGACGCUGAAGAGCGAAAGCAUGGGGAGCGAACAGGAUUAGAUACCCUGGUAGUCCAUGCCGUAAACGUUGGGCACUAGGUGUGGGGUCCAUUCCACGGAUUCCGUGCCGCAGCAAACGCAUUAAGUGCCCCGCCUGGGGAGUACGGCCGCAAGGCUAAAACUCAAAUGAAUUG